rnacentral:rRNA from 1 species
AAGGAAGGCAGCAGGCGGGAAAAUUACCCACUCUCAGUAGAGGAGGUAGGACGAGAAAGACAAGAUUAGUCUUCGGGGCUGGAUCAUUGGAAUGGUUGAUUUUAAAAUCAUUAAAGAGUAUCAAUGAGAGGGCAAGUCUGGUGCCAGCAGCCGCGGUAAUUCCAGCUCUCAUACUGCAUUGAAUUGUUGUUGCGGUUAAAAAGCUCGUAGUUGGAUCUCUACACGAUAGGUUGGUACAUCCUUUGGAUUGUUACUAAUACUAAGUGUUAUUUACAAGUUUUUAUAUUUCUUUACGGGAAUAUAUGACUUGUGAGUUUACUUUGAAUAAAUCAGAGUGCUCAAAACAGGCGUAAGCUUGUAUGGUUUUGCAUGGAAUAAUAGAACAUGACUAUGGUUCAUGUUUUAUUGGUUUUACUUACAAUAGUAAUGAUUAAAAGGAACAAACGGGGGCGUCCGUAUCAUAAGGCGAGAG